rnacentral:piRNA from 1 species
UUUACACAAGAGCCUGGUGUGGCUGGUGCA